rnacentral:rRNA from 1 species
GAUGAACGCUGGCGGCGUGCCUAAUACAUGCAAGUCGAGCGAACGGACGAGAAGCUUGCUUCUCUGAUGUUAGCGGCGGACGGGUGAGUAACACGUGGAUAACCUACCUAUAAGACUGGGAUAACUUCGGGAAACCGGAGCUAAUACCGGAUAAUAUUUUGAACCGCAUGGUUCAAAAGUGAAAGACGGUCUUGCUGUCACUUAUAGAUGGAUCCGCGCUGCAUUAGCUAGUUGGUAAGGUAACGGCUUACCAAGGCAACGAUGCAUAGCCGACCUGAGAGGGUGAUCGGUCACACUGGAACUGAGACACGGUCCAGACUCCUACGGGAGGCAGCAGUAGGGAAUCUUCCGCAAUGGGCGAAAGCCUGACGGAGCAACGCCGCGUGAGUGAUGAAGGUCUUCGGAUCGUAAAACUCUGUUAUUAGGGAAGAACAUAUGUGUAAGUAAAUGUGAACAUCUUGACGGUACCUAAUCAGAAAGCCACGGCUAACUACGUG